rnacentral:rRNA from 1 species
UACGUAGGGGGCAAGCGUUGUCCGGAAUCAUUGGGCGUAAAGAGCGUGUAGGCGGCCAGAUAAGUCCGCUGUGAAAACUCGAGGCUCAACUUCGAGCUGUCGGUGGAAACUAUUUGGCUAGAGUCCGGAAGAGGAGAGUGGAAUUCCUGGUGUAGCGGUGAAAUGCGCAGAUAUCAGGAAGAACACCCGUGGCGAAGGCGGCUCUCUGGAACGCAACUGACGCUGAGACGCGAAAGCGUGGGGAGCAAACAGG